AACAUCGCGCACCUGCGGGAACCUGCGGAAGGAUCAUUAUCGAGUUGCAAAACUCCAACCCUUUGUGAACAUACCUCAGUCGUUGCUUCGGCGGUGGACGGCCUGUUUUUCGGAACGGCCGGAAGCCGCCGGAGGUUCCAAACUCGUAUUUUUUAGUGUAUCUCUGAGCCUGAAAACAAAUAAUCAAAACUUUUAACAACGGAUCU
rnacentral:misc_RNA from 1 species